UCUCUCUCUCUCUCUCCGCAAUUAGACUUGGAAUCUGUUCAUUUUUUCUUGCAUUUUGUUCAUUAGGAGAUGCUUCAUUUCUCAUUUAAUUCAACAUGAUGAUCGUCUAUUAGUAGGCGGUAGCGGGGCUGGGCGCAAGAUCGAGGUGGACUAAGGGUUCUUUGCAAGAUCUGGAGAGUCUCGAUGAAGCGAUAAAGCAAGUAGAAAUCGUGAUCUGCGCCAUUCCUUCCAAAAAUGUCCUCGAUCAGAAGCUUCCCAUUCAAGCUAUCAAAGAAGCUGGAUGCAUCAAGAGGUUCAUUCCAUCAGAAUUUGGAGCAGAUCCUGAUAAAGCCCGAAUUCCCGACCUUGACUAUGGCUUCUAUGCAAAGAAAUCAGAGAUCCGACGUGUUAUAGGAAAGGAAGGCAUUCCAUACACCUACAUCUCCUGCAACUUCUUCACAAGAUAUUUACUUCCAUCACUUGCGCAACCAGGUCUUAAUACGCCUCCAAGAGACAGAGUCAAGAUCUUUGGAGAUGGAAACACAAAAGGUUUCUUGAUUUACUCAUGAUUCUAGGACUUUGAUUUACAUAGAUGAAGUGGAUGGUGAUAACUGUACUUCUCAAGUUCGUUCUUUAGCAUUCUGUUUGCGAAAUGCUAUUGCCACUCUGAGUGUAACCAUCAGUCUCAAUGCAAGUGCCAAUCUGGUGUGUGUGAAAUCCAGGCAAUUCAUCUGGUGGGCACAACUGUGGCCCAAAAUACCAAGCCAGCCUGGUGGUCAGGUGCCACACUUGUAUGAAAGAAAUGAAAAGUUCAAAAAUUGGCAUGUUGUCCACAUUCAAUGUACACAUGCUACGCACCUGAUGACAUACCGCCAGCCUGAUUCUUGGGCCUUGGCACAACUAAAUGUGGUCCAAUGGAUGAACAGGUAGAAUCAUGUGCAGACAUGCUACUCUGGGGAGAGUAGGAUUUGGAUGGAUACCUCGCACGAGUAGCCACGGCAUUGCUUUAUCUGUUUUUGCUGCUUCAUUUCUUAUACUUAGAACUCUGAGAAUUCAUUCUUUCCACUAUUGUGGUUUGGGGGUUGCUUUCUACAGCUGUUUUUGUGGAGGAAUCUGAUAUGUACUGUUAUUUUAUUUAUUUAUUUGAUAGGCAUCCUGGAUUUGGGUAUUUAUGCAAUCAUAUUCCAUUAAAAAAAAAAAUCAUAUGCAAUCACGUAUAACAAAAUAUAGAGUACACCUUAAUUAAUUCUAUUACACAUUUACACUAUAUGAUAUGAUAUCCAUAUAUAUGAAGUACAUCACCCAUAUAUAUCCAUAUAUUUUAUAACCAUACACUGACCAACAUUCAAACUUUCUGAUAGCUACAAUCCAUCAAAUUGUUAAAUAGCAGGAUGCUACAAAGUUAGUUUUUCUUUUUCUUUUUCUUUUUUAGAGAUGCUUAUUUUGUUUAUCCGAAUAUUACCCUCUUGUUUUGGAGGACAACCCUC